rnacentral:rRNA from 1 species
UACAGAGGUCUCGAGCGUUGUUCGGAUUCAUUGGGCGUAAAGGGCGCGUAGGCGGCGCGGUAAGUCGGGUGUGAAAUCUCGGAGCUUAACUCCGAAACUGCAUUCGAUACUGCCGUGCUUGAGGACUGGAGAGGAGACUGGAAUUUACGGUGUAGCGGUGAAAUGCGUAGAUAUCGUAAGGAAGACCAGUGGCGAAGGCGGGUCUCUGGACAGUUCCUGACGCUGAGGCACGAAGGCCAGGGGAGCAAACGGG